GAUACGGCUGCACACCGCUACUCCCGGGAACUCUGUCUUUGGGUCAGCCCUGCUCUGUCUACGGAGCAGCUAUUUUGCUGUAUGCUGUUGUUCUAAUAAACUUCUUUCUUUCACUGCUGGCUGGCGCUUGAAUUCUUUCCUGAGUGAAGCCAAGAAUCCUCCCAGGCUGAACGCCAAUUCGGGAUAAACCUGCAUCCGCUGGAUAACUUGAUAAUGAAUUUUUAAAUUAAUUUUUUCACUUAUUGAUCCACUGCUUGCACCCCUUGGACCUCUAAAUUUCUCAGUCAUUUUCUGUUUCCUGCAACCGAAGACCCCUAAGUUACACAGAAAUCAGAUUUAAAAAUACAGACUCAGACGAAUGUAAAUAUUUUGAAUUGAAUGGAGUGAAAAGUGCUGAGACUCCUACCCAUGUUCAGAGAUAUGAAAGUGGUGGUCAAUGAGAAAGAAUCUUUAAACAACCACAAGCAGUGACCGGUUGGAACCUGGGCCUCCUGAAGAUGAAGUUCAGAGAGCAGG
rnacentral:lncRNA from 1 species